rnacentral:lncRNA from 1 species
ACGUACAGGUUGCAUAGCAUACAGUGCUGCGGGACAUAAGUUUCCUAUUUGAUUAGGGUGUUGUUGCUUCAGCAUUGGGCAAGGCUUGGAUGCCUUUGAGAUGGGCCUUUUGAGUUUGAUGGGACAAGUGGGAAGAGAUAAAAGAUCUCUGUCAUUGUUAAUAUAAAAGCAAAGAAAAUAAAAAAUAGGAGGUAGAGAAUUAACAAACUCAACCUCGGGGCACCGCGUUGGGCUUGACUCUGCCGUCUUCGAGUCUCCUCCGACCAUCCCAAAUCAAGAACACACACUUUUCUCCGAUCCUUUUCCUCCUGUUUCCGCAGCCGCGCGUGAAUUUUCCUCCACGCGCCUCUCACAUCCGUGCU